rnacentral:rRNA from 1 species
CCUACGGGUGGCAGCAGGGAGGAAUAUUGGUCAAUGGGCGCGAGCCUGAACCAGCCAAGUAGCGUGAAGGAUGACUGCCCUACGGGUUGUAAACUUCUUUUAUAAAGGAAUAAAGUGAGGCAUGUGUGCCUUUUUGUAUGUACUUUAUGAAUAAGGAUCGGCUAACUCCGUUCCAGCAGCCGCGGUAAUACGGAGGAUCCGAGCGUUAUCCGGAUUUAUUGGGUUUAAAGGGAGCUUAGAGGGUUUGUUAAGUCCCUUGUGAAAGUUUGGGGCUCAACCAUAAAAUUGCAAUUGAUACUGGCAGCCUUGAGUCCAGUUGAGGUAGGCGGAAUUCGUGGUGUAGCGGUGAAAUGCUUAGAUAUCACGAAGAACUCCGAUUGCGAAGGCAGCUUACUAAACUGCCACUGACAUUGAUGCUCGAAAGUGUGGGUAUCAAACAGGAUUAGAUACCCGAGUAGUC